CUGUAAUACUGUUUCAAUUUCCGUCAUCCUUCAUAUGUUUUGUAAAUGUAAAUCUAAAUAUUGAUCAAACGUUUAUAUGGUUUUUUUUUUAAAUUUAAGUUCACUUAAUUAAAUGCUUUGUGGGUUAGUGUGACGUCGAUUCGCAUUUAACUAGUACACACUGUUGUUUAAGGGCCAGCUGAUGCCCACCUUCGGGUGCUGAAUGUUAUCGCUGUGUUCCAUACUCAUAAGUGGUAUUGGUUGUUUUCUGUUCUUUGGACGGGUUGUUGUCUCUUUGACACAAUCCUCAUUUCCAUUAUAAAUUUUAUAUUAAUUAUAUUAGAUAUUCU
rnacentral:lncRNA from 1 species